rnacentral:rRNA from 1 species
GAUGAACGCUGGCGGCGUGCUUAACACAUGCAAGUCGAACGGUGAAAGAGAGCUUGCUCUCUGGAUCAGUGGCGAACGGGUGAGUAACACGUGAGCAAUCUGCCCCUGACUCUGGGAUAAGCGUUGGAAACGACGUCUAAUACCGGAUACGAGCUGCGAAGGCAUCUUCAGCAGCUGGAAAGAACUUCGGUCAGGGAUGAGCUCGCGGCCUAUCAGCUAGUUGGUGAGGUAAAGGCUCACCAAGGCGUCGACGGGUAGCCGGCCUGAGAGGGUGACCGGCCACACUGGGACUGAGACACGGCCCAGACUCCUACGGGUGGCU